rnacentral:lncRNA from 10 species
CUCAUUCUCAUUCUUUUAUUCAUUAUUUAAAAUCAAAUAACAUUAAUAACAUACUUCAAAAAGUUUACACUUAUCCUACUUCCAUUGUCUGUUAUCCUGAAAAAAAAUGCCAAGAGAUGAUGAUAAUAAAACAUGUCUAUUCUUCCAUGGAAUGUAUAAAUUGAAACCAAGUAUGUGGAACCCACAUUUAAUAGGAGUAAUUCAACACAAUAACCAUCAAUUAGUAGUCACUGAAUGUCACAUAGAUAAGACAAUGUUUUAGGCACUAUUUUUUAAAAGACAAAAAAUUUACCCAGAAAUAAUAAUGAGGUACACUAAUUUUUUAUACCUUAAAAUUUUGUUUUCAUUUAUUUUCUACCAUGAUUAUGUGCAGUAAGUGAACUAGAUUGUGUAAUGAUUGAUAUAGAUUGUCACAGCUCAUCACUCAUGUGUCUACUUGCUUUAGAAGUAGGCACAGGUGACUGUACUUUCAACUGCUAAAUUUUCAGUGUUGGGGUUUAUGCCAUUUUGGACUGAUGGGAAAUUGUCAUAUAAUAUUGAAAACUGUAACAGUAAAAUGGACUACUUCACAUUUUGGGGGACAAGUAUUUUCUCAUUUGGUUAAUUACGGUUUGAACUCAUGUGAAAUUAACCUAAUGAUAUCAAGAAAAUGCUGACAAUAUAAAUAGUCAUACCUUAUAUAGUUAUAAUUUAUAAUCUCUCCAUAAGCACAAUUAAAAAUACAUGAACCCAGAAAAUGUACAAGUAUUUGAAAAUACAAUUAAAUAUUUACUUCAAAGAUGCACAAAAAGCACAAACGUGACUUUUGAUUGGGUUAAGUCUGCAGGAACGUCCCUCUCUAUUAUUUCCACUUUGCAGGAACAAUAGCUCAGGGUAAAAAAAGCAGAGGAAGCGGGCGCAGGGGCUCAUGCCUGUAAUUCCAGGACUUUGGGACUCCGAGGCAGAAGGAUUGCUUGUGCCCUGGCAUAUGAGACUUGUGCCCUGGCGUAUGAGACCUAUACCCUGGGCAACAUAGGGAGACCCCUUCUCUAUAGAAAAUAAAAAAUUAGCCAGGCGUGGUGGCGUGCACCUGUGGUCCCAGCUAGCAGAAGGCUAAAGUGGGAGGCUCGCUUGAGACUGGGAGGUCCAGGAUGCAGUGAGCUGUGAUCAUGCCACUGCGCUCCACCCUGGUCAACAGAACAAGACCUCGGCCCCCUCGCCCCCCACCCCCGCCAAAAAAAAUAAGCAGAGGAUAUGCAUCAAUCAAGAAUUCCUACGGGUCCAUGAAGACACACAUCUUUUUCUACUCCCUCUGCAUAGGAACGAAAGGAAAAAUCAUGAGAAAACAAAAUUCUCACCCAUUGUAAAUAUAAUAGUAUGCCCAUGAGCAGCAUAUCAAUCUCAAAAUGCUUACUCUAUUUACAAAGUGUUUGUUGCAUCAUUCACUAGAUUCUCAAAAUAAUUUUCCAUGAAACACACUAAUAAAUGGGGUUAUUAGCCUAAUUUUACAGAUAAGAAAAAUGGUGCUUAGAGAGGUCAAGUGACUUACUCAUGGUUAGAUAUUGGUAACCAAGUUUUCUGAUUUCUUAUUAAAUAUUCUUUCUACUAUGCCACUUUGGUUUUCAAACAAAUGAAGCAACUAAAGGUUAAGAGUAAAAACCUUAUGAUUCCAAAAAACUUCACUUGGUACUCUUUUGUGAUUAAGAGUAGUUUACAGAACAGAAUAGAAAUGUACAUUAUAAAAUAUUUGACACUAUGAUCAAAAUAUCCCUUCCAGGAGAGUUUAAUCAAUAAGUUAAAAAUUAGGAAACUCAAAAGUCAUUUUACUGUCUUAAUUGAUUAUUCUAUCUUAACUUGUACUGAUGAGAUUGUAAAAUGCAAUUUGAAGGCUAAAUAUAUCAAGCAUCUAACCAAUUUUUCUUCCCCAGAAAAAUCUUUUCUGCAUUCUUUUCAUAUUGGAAAUUAGGAAAUUUGGAAAUUUA